UACGAAGGGGGCUAGCGUUGCUCGGAAUGACUGGGCGUAAAGGGCGCGUAGGCGGUUUGCACAGUCAGGCGUGAAAUUCCUGGGCUUAACCUGGGGGCUGCGCUUGAUACGUGUGGACUGGAGUGCGGAAGAGGGUCGUGGAAUUCCCAGUGUAGAGGUGAAAUUCGUAGAUAUUGGGAAGAACACCGGUGGCGAAGGCGGCGACCUGGUCCGUGACUGACGCUGAGGCGCGAAAGCCAGGGGAGCAAACGGG
rnacentral:rRNA from 1 species